UUAUAUACUCAUUUAUUAUACCCAUUGACUUGAUUCAAACAAAAAAACUUAUGGACACAAAGUUUUUUUUACAAAUACACUCUUUUCACAUUACCACUAGCAGACACAAACUUCAUAUUUAUAAAAUUGAUAUUUCUAAACUUGAUAUAUAGGUACAGAAAAUGAAAAACUAGAAAAAUCACAAAAAAUAACUAGUGUGAUUUCCAAGGUGAACACUUCAAAUUUUUGCAAGAUUGUGUCCAGGUACUA
rnacentral:lncRNA from 1 species